rnacentral:tRNA from 1 species
GGCGGCGUAGCUCAGCCUGAUUAGAGCAGUCGGCUCAUACCCGGCCUGCCACUGGUUUAAAUCCAGUCGCCGCCA